AUUGAACGCUGGCGGCAGGCCUAACACAUGCAAGUCGAGCGGAGCGGCGGACGGGUGAGUAAUGCCUAGGAAUCUGCCUGGUCGUGGGGGAUAAAGUCCGGAAACGGGCGCUAAUACCGCAUAAUAUCUGUUGAGCCUAGGUAGGAUUAGCUAGUGGGGGGGGUAAAGGCUUACCAAGGCGACGAUCCGUAACUGGUCUGAGAGGAUGAUCAGUCACACUGGAACUGAGACACGGUCCAGACUCCUACGGGAGGCAGCAGGGGGGAAUAGUGGACAAUGGGCGAAAGCCUGAGCCAGCCAUGCCGCGUGUGUGAAGAAGGUCUUCGGAUUGUAAAGCACUUUAAGUUGGGAGGCGUUACCAACAGAAUAAACACCGGCUAACUUCGUGCCAGCAGCCGCGGUAAUAC
rnacentral:rRNA from 1 species